UUGACAGACAUUCACAACUUUCGUGGCAACCAUGGAAGAAGCUAACUAUACAGUCGCUGCAUCCUAUGUUCUACAGGACGAUACAGAGCAAUACGUAAAGUCACUCAAAGGUCGUGAUGCGAGAAUAAUGUUCGUUGGAGUUUAUCAAGAUGUGGCAAAAAAGAUUUUCUGCAGCGCUUACCAAGAAGGGCUUUACGGUUCAAAAUAUGUAUGGGUGGUGCCAGGCUGGUACACUCCCGACUGGUGGUUACUGAG